GGGCAUUUAGUGUAAUGGUAACACACUCUUGGUACCUAUGCAGGGUUCUGUGGUUCGACUCCCAGAAUGUCCA